rnacentral:lncRNA from 1 species
GCGGGACCUGAAAGUACACUUGAAGGACAUCCCCCUCACCCAAAAGGAGCCCAGAAGCGUUGGCCCUGCCCCCAGUCUCCUCAAGGAGCGUUCCGGCGGACUCCGGCAAGCGAGGCCGACAGCCAAGACGCCCUGCCGGGGCCUCCUGAGGACAGGGGCUAGAGCGGAGCCGAGAUGCCUGAGCGCCAGCUCGCAGCCCUGGCCAUUGCCUCUGAGCAUCGCAAGGAACCCCGGCCGGGCCAGGGCCACGGAGAACCCCGCAGCCGGGUCGCGUCCCCACGCCUUACCCGCCGACCCCCGAACCUAAAGCGAACAGGGCUGACUUACCUGGGCCGUGGCUCGCACUGUAGUCUGCGACCGGUGGCUCCUCAGGGCGGCCG